rnacentral:rRNA from 1 species
GACGAACCGUGCGAACGUUGUUCGGAAUCACUGGGCUUAAAGGGCGCGUAGGCGGGCUGCCAAGUCAGGGGUGAAAGCCCACGGCUCAACCGUGGAAGUGCCUUUGAUACUGGCGGCCUUGAGGGAGGUAGGGGCGUGCGGAACUUCCGGUGGAGCGGUGAAAUGCGUAGAUAUCGGGAGGAACACCAGUGGCGAAGGCGACUACCUGGCCUGUUUCUUGACGCUGAGGCGCGAAAGCUAGGGGAGCAAACGGG